GAAACCCGGUGAUCUAGCCAUGGGCAGGUUGAAGGUUGGGUAACACUAACUGGAGGACCGAACCGACUAAUGUUGAAAAAUUAGCGGAUGACUUGUGGCUGGGGGUGAAAGGCCAAUCAAACCGGGAGAUAGCUGGUUCUCCCCGAAAGCUAUUUAGGUAGCGCCUCGUGAAUUCAUCUCCGGGGGUAGAGCACUGUUUCGGCAAGGGGGUCAUCCCGACUUACCAACCCGAUGCAAACUGCGAAUACCGGAGAAUGUUAUCACGGGAGACACACGGCGGGUGCUAACGUCCGUCGUGAAGAGGGAAACAACCCAGACCGCCAGCUAAGGUCCCAAAGUCAUGGUUAAGUGGGAAACGAUGUGGGAAGGCCCAGACAGCCAGGAUGUUGGCUUAGAAGCAGCCAUCAUUUAAAGAAAGCGUAAUAGCUCACUGGUCGAGUCGGCCUGCGCGGAAGAUGUAACGGGGCUAAACCAUGCACCGAAGCUGCGGCAGCGACACUAUGUGUUGUU
rnacentral:rRNA from 1 species